rnacentral:lncRNA from 10 species
CCCACCCACUCUAUGACAGCAUAAAACCUCAAACUUCUUACCAAGUUAGGAAAUAAAAAUAAAGGAAGGCUUUGUGUGUGCCAUCUCAUGGAUAAUCCAACUACUGUCAUAUCCAGAUUUUCUGUACCUCCUUUCCCCAAACAUUUGUUUUAAUGCCAAAGGCAGAAGAAAGUGAUAUGGACAGGAAGAGGCAUCUGAAAUGAGAGAGGAAAAACCAACCGGGACUUAGAGAUAAGCUGAAAAAAUGAAAUUAAGGAGAAUAAGCCAAAGACGAUGACUUAUUCAUUCAACAAAAUCCCAUGCACUUUUCUAUGUUCCAGGUUCAAGGUACAAACAGAGAUGUGGAAGCCAGGAGACAGUGCGCAGUGGUAUCAGGAAGCUGAGAAAGAAGGAAAGCUUGACUGCCCCUUUGUAUACCAGGCCCUACGGUAUCUGCUUUUACACACUGCAUUUCAUUUAAUCUUUACAAGCCAAUGAAAUGAGCACUGUGAUCGCCAGUUUACAAAUGAAGGCAUGGAGG